rnacentral:rRNA from 1 species
GACGAACGCUGGCGGUGUGCUUAACACAUGCAAGUCGAACGGUAAGGCCCUUUCGGGGGUCCACGAGUGGCGAACGGGUGAGUAACACGUGAGUAACCUGCCCUCAUCUCUGGGAUAACAGUCGGAAACGGUUGCUAAUACUGGAUAUGAGCUUGCAAGGCAUCUUGUGGGUUGUAAAGAUUUGUUUGGGUUGGGGAUGGACUCGCGGUCUAUGAGCUUGUUGGUGAGGUAGUGGCUCACCAAGGCUUCGACGGGUAGCCGGCCUGAGAGGGCGACCGGCCACAUUGGGACUGAGAUACGGCCCAAACUGCUACGGGAGGCAGCAGUGGGGAAUAUUGAACAAUGGACGGAAGUCUGAUGCAGCAGCGCCGCGUGCGGGAUGACGGCCUUCGGGUUGUAAACCGCUUUCAACUGUGACGAAGCGUUUUUGUGACGGUAGCAGUAGAAGAAGCACCGGCUAACUACGUG